GGACGCAACCUCGCGCCAACUGUCAAAAUGUUUCGAAAAACAAAAUGCUCUUAUUUCGAUGCAUUUCAAGAGUUUUGUUGUGAAAAGAACACUGGAAUAUAGACUGAAAUACUAUCCAACCAUUAGACUCAUGAUCUUGACAUGGAUCCAAGAUGCUGGUAACUAGGCGGGACGGAUUGUUACACAAAACAGCAGGUUUCUGGAUGGAGACUCAGCGCCAUGUCACAAAUACUUCAGAACCCAGUGUGCGAAAUUAACGGUAGCCCGAUCGCCCGUGGCGAUGAAAAAUUGACCCAGGCUACGAAAAAAUCUUUUAAGGUAGCCCGACUGGCGAUGAAAUCAUCGGGCUUGUUGGCUAAAAAAAAAUGUCGGGUAAAUGUUUACCUCGACACCGUUGACCGACUUCCGGAUAAUCUCUCAUUGUUAUGGAUAUUUUCUGUUGCAGUAAACUCCCUUGUCAAGCAAUUAUACGCUAUAUACUGCUUGAAAAUAAUUAUUUUGACGGAAAUCAUAUUUCGGACUGUCAAUACUUUUUUUUAGUGAGAUAUUAAAGUUUGGAUGUUGUUUUUGUGUGUGUUUUUUUUAAAUAAACUUGGAUUAUUAAGUCACCGAAAAUUAUGAAAUAGAUGUUUAUAAAAUCCUGUCACUAAUGCCACAAGCAGCACAUGUUGACAGGACUUCCAUCCUCCCCCUUCAUCAAAUCAACAAUCCAACUGCCUUGACAGAACCAGCCCCCCCCCCCCCCCCACCCCACCCCCAUCGAACCACCACCAGCCCCCCUGCCCCCUGGCAAUACAGGACCACACAACCACUAUACUUGCAUUUUAUACAAAAUAUAAUAAGAUAUUGUACAGUUGUCAUAUCAUUCCUUGUUUUUAACCAUAUAAGGUACUCAAGAUGCGUUUUUCUGUUAACCGGUGGGCUAUGGAAAUCUGGCUUGGGCUACAGAAAUCUCAAAGUCUGUAGCCCCAUUGGCUACCAGGUAAAAAAGGUUAAUUUCGCACACUGAGAACCUAGAAUGAAAGUUACCGAAAGAGCAAUAGACUUUCCAAUCUCUACAAAAUUCAUCUUAACUGUUUUUCAAGGUGAUACUUGAGACUACCAAAGACUUUUCAAGGACAGAAUUCACAAAACAGUUUAUGCCACCAUCUCAUAUCAAAGGAUUGUGCUUGAGUUGAACAGCCUUCAAACAGAAACUGUUUCAAAACCUUCAAUGGAUUCAUUCUGAUUCAGUUUACCCUUGCUGUGAUCUGAGCAACUAUUUACAUCAAUUCAACAUUGUAAACUGUUUAAACUUGAAAAUUCUGUCUUCGUGCAACUCAAAUGAAUCUAUUUACUGUGAUGUUGACUCUAUACAGGAAGAAGAGACCAUCUUUAUACAUGCUGGCAUAUCUUUUAAAAAGGAAACAAAUAUUAUAACCAACAUACUACACUGUUAUGUCAUCCAAGAACUCAGCUACUGACUCAAUUUAUAAAUACUUCAAAGGAAAAAUGUCUCUAUCAAUGUAACUACUGCUGUGCAUAAUAAGACAUUUUUUAUUAUGCGCCCCUUCCAAGAAGAGGGGUAUAUUGCUUUGCACAUGUCGGUCGGUCGAUACCGUCUACCGUCUGUAUACCAAAGCUUGUCCGAGUGACAACUCAACAAUUCCUGGACGUAUGGUCAUCAAACUUGACAUGAAGGUUGGGCCUGACCAGUAGAUGAUUUUAGGGCUCAUCGGGUCAAAGGUCAAGGUCACAGUGACCUUGAAUGGUAAAUUAAUUUUAAAGCUUGUCCGAGUGAUAACCUAACAAUGCCUUGACCUUUCGUCAUCAAACUUGAUAUGGAAGUUGGGCCUCACCAGUAGAUGACCCCUAUUAGUUUUUGGAAAAAGGUUGUCCAAGUGAUAAAUCAACAAUGCCUGCCCCCAUGGCCCUCAAACUUGACUUGGAGGUUGGGCCUUACCAGAAGAUGACCCCUAUUGAUUUUAGGGGUCAAAGGUCAAGGUCAAAGUGAUCUUGAAAGCAAACUCGACAAUUCCUGGACCAAUCAUACCAUUCAGUCUGAAUGGUCAUCAAACUUGACAUAAAGGUUGGGCCUGAUCAGUAGAUGACCCCUCUUGACUUUGAGGGUCAUCAAGCCAACGUCAAGGUCACAAUAACCUUUAAUGCAAAAAAGAUAACAAAUCCUCUCUCAGGGAUAUCUCAACAAUUCCUGAACCUAUGGUCAUCAAACUUGACAUGGAAGUUUGUCCUGACAAGGAGAUGACGCUUAUUGAUUUUAGGAGUCAUUGGGUCAAAGGUCAAGUUCACAGUGACCUUGAAUGCGAAAAUGUUUCGAGUGAUAACUUGACAAUGCCUGUACCCAUGGCCCUCAAAUCUGACUUGGAGUUGUGUCUGGCCUGUAAAUGAGUCCCUUUCAUUUUAGGGGUCAUCGGGUCAAACGUCAAGGUCACAGUGACAUUGAUUGAAAAAAGCUUGUCUGUGUGAUAACAUGUCAAUGCCUGAACCCAUGUCCCUCAAACUUGACAUUUAGAUUUUUGUAGACCAGCUGAUGACUCAUAUGGAUUUUGAGGUCAUAGUCAUUAGAGUCAAAGGUCAUGCUCAUAACACACUCUAUCCUCACACUUUGAAUGGUCAUAAUCUUAAAACUGCCUCAACGGCAUCCAAUGUCAGUGACUAAUCAGCUGUCAUUUCGGUCCAUGCUCAUUUCAUUCAAUUGUUCAUAUAAUCCUGACAACAUGGCACUCAGGUGGGGGCAUAAUGUUUGACAAACAUCUCUUUUUGAUACUUGGCUCAUUUCUUACAUGUAGCUGUAACAUUUUGGGCAACUUCUCAAUUAUUUUGUUUAAGACAUUUUUCAUCCAGCUCAUCUAAGCCUAAGUUAGUGUUCAUGUUAACUUUUAUGACUGCCUGUUUAUUGUACUUUUUAUAAAUCAUUUUUAAUGACUUUUUCUCAAGAACCAUUUGGCUAAGUAUGUCUCCUCCUGAAAUAGACUAAUUCUUUUAGCUCCAGUUGUCUGUCUGUACGUCUGUAACAAAUUGUGUCUGCUCCAUGUCUCUUUAACCUUUUGAAGGAUUUGAUAUAACUUCCCACAAAUGUACACCAAAUUGAGAGGAAGGGUUUAUUAUUAUAACUGUUGAGCAGUUUCCGAACUUGACUGUAUUAUAUCUUGCAUUUACCUCAAGCUGUUAAGUGAACAAUAUAACAUUGACCAAUACAAGGAACUAAACCUUCUAGGUCACCAUUUUGGAAUAAAGUAAUACUUAAAGCUCAUAUUUCCAUAAGAAUCUGCUCAUAUACAUUUUAAAUAGCUUAUACAAGUAUAUCAUUUCAACAUAACAUCAGAUCCUCCACUGUUUUAUGUUUGCAACAUUUUUUUUUAAACUUUGAUUUAUAUAUCAAGACUUUUAUGAACAAAUACCAAACAGCAACUCACAAAUCUAUACUCAUUUGGGCAGAAUUUUGUAAAUCCAAGCAUUGUCAUUUGAUAUUCAAUGCUUUUUGGCAAAUUGGGGCAUUUUCUGUCACAUUAAAAUCAAUAUUAACAAUAAAUCUCCAACUUCAAUAUUCUCAUAUUUUUGUGCCCAUUCUUUGCCAAUUAUUUGUUUGUCUAUUGGUAUACAUGUAUGUUUAUUCAUACUGUUUUUCAAAAUAACGAAUUAAUAAAAUGUUUGAAAUA